GACGUAGGGUGCGAGCGUUGUCCGGAUUUAUUGGGCGUAAAGAGCUCGUAGGCGGUUUGUCGCGUCUGCUGUGAAAACCCGAGGCUCAACCUCGGGCCUGCAGUGGGUACGGGCAGACUAGAGUGCGGUAGGGGAGAUUGGAAUUCCUGGUGUAGCGGUGGAAUGCGCAGAUAUCAGGAGGAACACCGAUGGCGAAGGCAGAUCUCUGGGCCGAUACUGACGCUGAGGAGCGAAAGCGUGGGGAGCGAACAGG
rnacentral:rRNA from 1 species